rnacentral:rRNA from 1 species
UACGGGGGGAGCAAGCGUUGUUCGGAUUUACUGGGCGUAAAGGGCGCGUAGGCGGUCAGCACAAGUCAGUUGUGAAAUCUCCGGGCUUAACUCGGAAAGGUCAACUGAUACUGUGCGACUAGAGUGCAGAAGGGGCAACUGGAAUUCUCGGUGUAGCGGUGAAAUGCGUAGAUAUCGAGAGGAACACCUGCGGCGACGGCGGGUUGCUGGGCUGACACUGACGCUGAUGCGCGAAAGCCAGGGGAGCGAACGGG